rnacentral:rRNA from 1 species
GUCUAAGGCCAUACCACCCUGAAUGCACCCAAUCUUGUCUGAUCUCAGAAGCUAAGGAGGGUUGGGCCUAGUUAGUACUUGGAGAGGAAAACUGACCUCAGGUC